rnacentral:rRNA from 1 species
UACGUAGGGUCCGAGCGUUUGUCCGGAAUUACUGGGCGUAAAGAGCUCGUAGGUGGUUUGUCGCGUUGUUCGUGAAAACUCACAGCUUAACUGUGGGCGUGCGGGCGAUACGGGCAGACUAGAGUACUGCAGGGGAGACUGGAAUUCCUGGUGUAGCGGUGGAAUGCGCAGAUAUCAGGAGGAACACCGGUGGCGAAGGCGGGUCUCUGGGCAGUAACUGACGCUGAGGAGCGAAAGCGUGGGGAGCGAACAGG